GCCAUGUAGAAACCAAUAGGGUUAUGGGUUUAAUAUAAACAGCCAUAUCCUUUCCAGGUUAGCCCGCUUCCAUCUUAGACUGCAUCAUCGCUUACCACCAGGUGAGAUUGCAAUCAAGGGCUAACUUGUAUCUGAAUAAAA